GACGAACGCUGGCGGCGUGCUUAACACAUGCAAGUCGAACGGGCCCGCCCCUGUUUUUGGGGGUGGGUUGAGUGGCGAACGGGUGAGUAUCACGUGAGUAACCUGCCCCCUGCUCCUGGAUAACUGCUUGAAAGGGCGGCUAAUACGGGGUGUGCCGGCUGGUCCGCAUGGGCCUGGUCGGGAUAGUUUCAUCUUCGGGUGUUUCGGUGGGGGAUGGGCUCGCGGCCUAUCAGCUUGUUGGUGGGGUGAUGGCCCACCAAGGCGGUGACGGGUAGCCGGCCUGAGAGGGUGGGCGGCCACACUGGGACUGAGACACGGCCCAGACGCCUGCGGGAGGCAGCAGUGGGGGGUAUUGCACAAUGGGCGGAAGCCUGAGGCAGCGACGUCGCGUGAGGGAUGGAGGCCGUCGGGUGGUGAACCUCUUUCUCCGGUGGUGAAGGCCCUGUCCGGUGCGGCGGGGUUGACGGUAGCCGGGUAUGAAGCGCCGGCUAACUACGUG
rnacentral:rRNA from 1 species